AACGAACGCUGGCGGCAUGCCUAACACAUGCAAGUCGAGCGAGGACUUCGGUUCUAGCGGCGGACGGGUGAGUAACGCGUGGGAAUGUGCCCUUCUCUACGGAAUAGCCCUGGGAAACUGGGAGUAAUACCGUAUACGCCCUAUUGGGGAAAGAUUUAUCGGAGAAGGAUCAGCCCGCGUUGGAUUAGGUAGUUGGUGGGGUAAUGGCCUACCAAGCCGACGAUCCAUAGCUGGUUUGAGAGGAUGAUCAGCCACACUGGGACUGAGACACGGCCCAGACUCCUACGGGAGGCAGGAGUGGGGAAUCUUAGAAAAUGGGGGCAACCCUGAUCGAGCCAUGCCGCGUGAGUGAUGAAGGCCUUAGGGUUGUAAAGCUCUUUCAGCUGGGAAGAUAAUGACGGUACCAGCAGAAGAAGCCCCGGCUAACUCCGUG
rnacentral:rRNA from 1 species